rnacentral:rRNA from 1 species
GAUGAACGCUGGCGGCGUGCCUAAUACAUGCAAGUCGAGCGAACAGAUUUGGAGCUUGCUCUUCUGACGUUAGUGGCGGACGGGUGAGUAAUACGUGGAUAACCUACCUUUAAGACUGGGAUAACUUUGGGAAACCGGAGCUAAUACUGGAUAAUAUAUGUCACCGCAUGGUUCUAUAUUGAAAGACGGUUUUGCUUUUUCUUAUAGCUGGAUCCGUGUCGCAUUAGCUAGUUGGUAAGGUAACGGCUUACCAAGGCAACGAAGGGUAGCCGAACUGAAAGGGUGGUAGGCCACACUGGAACUGAGACACGGUCCAGGCUACUAAGGGAGGCACCAGUAGGGAAUCUGACGCAAUGGGCGAGAGCAUGACGGAGCAACGCGGCGUGAGAGAUGAAGGUCUUCGGAUCGUGAAAAUCGGUUAUUGGGGAAGAACAAAUGUGUAAGUAGAAAUGCACGUAGUGACGGUACCUAAUCAAAAAGCCACGGCUAACUACGUG